AUGUCUUAUGCAGAUCCAGUAUACAUGCAAACGGGCCUGCUAACCGAGAAAAGUGAUGUUUACAGUUUUGGAGUUGUGAUCUUAGAGCUCAUAAGCAGGAAGGAGGCCUGUCAUUCUGGUAAUAACAGCCUAGCAAGAAGUUUCCUUGAGGUUCAUGAAGAAAGGAAGAAAGCAACCGGGUUGUUUGACAAGGAAAUUGCAGUAACAACACGAGAUUUGGAGCUUCUUGACUGUCUUGCAGAGAUUGCUGUGGAAUGUCUUGACCUUGAUGUGGACCAAAGGCCCACGAUGAUAGAACUUGUGGCACGCCUUCUCAUACUAAAUCGAUCUCGUAGGUCAAGAGUUGUUCACCAACAAGUUUGA
rnacentral:rRNA from 1 species